GCGGCGGACGGGUGAGUAACACGUGGGUAACCUACCUAUAAGACUGGGAUAACUUCGGGAAACCGGAGCUAAUACCGGAUAACAUUUAGAACCGCAUGGUUCUAAAGUGAAAGAUGGUUUUGCUAUCACUUAUAGAUGGACCCGCGCCGUAUUAGCUAGUUGGUAAGGUAACGGCUUACCAAGGCGACGAUACGUAGCCGACCUGAGAGGGUGAUCGGCCACACUGGAACUGAGACACGGUCCAGACUCCUACGGGAGGCAGCAGUAGGGAAUCUUCCGCAAUGGGCGAAAGCCUGACGGAGCAACGCCGCGUGAGUGAUGAAGGGUUUCGGCUCGUAAAACUCUGUUAUUAGGGAAGAACAAAUGUGUAAGUAACUGUGCACAUCUUGACGGUACCUAAUCAGAAAGCCACGGCUAACUACGUGCCAGCAGCCGCGGUAAUACGUAGGUGGCAAGCGUUAUCCGGAAUUAUUGGGCGUAAAGCGCGCGUAGGCGGUUUCUUAAGUCUGAUGUGAAAGCCCACGGCUCAACCGUGGAGGGUCAUUGGAAACUGGGAAACUUGAGUGCAGAAGAGGAAAGUGGAAUUCCAUGUGUAGCGGUGAAAUGCGCAGAGAUAUGGAGGAACACCAGUGGCGAAGGCGACUUUCUGGUCUGUAACUGACGCUGAU
rnacentral:rRNA from 1 species